rnacentral:rRNA from 1 species
AUUGAACGCUGGCGGCAGGCCUAACACAUGCAAGUCGAGCGGCCGAACCGAAAUCGCUCGUUCUUACCGCUGGCGACGGGCGGGUGAGUGAUAGGUACAUCCCAGGCUCUGUUGUCGUGGGUCAGAACGAGGGCGCUCUUACGCUACUAGCGCAGACGACCUACGGGUGGAAGCUUCGGAUCUUCGGACCUCACGCGACCGCAGGAGCCGUUGUCGGAUUAGCGAGUUGGUGGGGUAAAGGCCCACCAAGGCGACGAUGCGUAGCUGGUCUGAGAGGAUGAUCAGCCACACUGGAACUGAGACACGGUCCAGACUCCUACGGGAGGCAGCAGUGGGGAAUAUUGGACAAUGGGCGAAAGCCUGAUCCAGCCAUGCCGCGUGAGUGAAGAAGGCCUUCGGGUUGUAAAGCACUUUUGUUAGGGAAGAAAAGCAGCAGGUUAAUACCACGCUGUUAUGACGGUACCAAAAGAAUAAGCACCGGCUAACUUCGUG